CCCCAGGCACCGCCUCCAGCGUACUCAGGACAGCCGGCCAGCAGGACUACGCGUGUUAUUACCACUACCACUACAGCAGACCAAAAUAUGGACUUCUGCAGUCGGUGUUGGAGGCGGGACCACCCGUAUAAAUGGUACUCUCUCCAGGGGAAGGGCUGGGGCUGGAUCGUGGUUCUUGUGCUGAUGUACUUCUUUGUGGGGAUUGUGGGCGUCAUCUUGUGGCUCGCCUGGGCCAUUCUGACGUCAGACAACCAUCAUCAUCACCAUGGAAGUCAUCAUCACCAUCAUGAUCAUGAUUACCAUCAUGAUUACCAUCAUGAUCAUGAUUUC